GGGGAAUAUUGGUCCAAUGGACGAGAGUCUGACCCAGCCAAGUAGCGUGAAGGAUGACUGCCCUAUGGGUUGUAAACUUCUUUUAUACGGGAAUAAAGUGAGGCACGUGUGCCUUUUUGUAUGUACCGUAUGAAUAAGGAUCGGCUAACUCC
rnacentral:rRNA from 1 species